rnacentral:lncRNA from 1 species
GGGCGGGCGGGGGCCGUGCAGCCGCAGCUCGGCCGUUAACCGCUUCGGCGCGGCCCUUCGCCCCGCCCUUGAGGCGCUGCCUGAGGGGCGGCCACGCGUGGCGGUGCUCGCCGUGACGCGAUGCGAAAAGGGCUCUAACUCCGCGUUCUGCCCCGUCUGGGCGGUUCUGGCUCCUGGCGGGGAGCGUUUCCCCGAGAUGGGAAAGUGUGAGAAACGGAGGCAGCACGGCUGGGCGCGACGCUGAGAGGCAGAGGAAGGUAAAGCCUGAAGAACCCGUCCCAGCCUCCGAAGGCUGUGACCACGUCGAUAAAGCAGCACUUGGAGGGAGGUGCAGUAGACAAACAUCAGCAUUCUUCAUUUGCAUUACUUAGACACAAUGGGAAUAACAUCUCCAUAGUGGCCUGAGAACACACGUCAGUCACAUAUUUCAAUCUCCACGGCCUUCAUGAUUCACGCAAGUAUUAAAACCAAAAUUCUGAAAUAUCUAUGCUCCCUAAAUUAGCCAAGCCAUUAUAAGACAUGUUCUUGGGCCUCUCACCGACUGUCUUUGCGCAGUCCGAAAUAGCGUUCUGAAACCUAGAGCUAAGGAGAGAACCCAACCCAGAGACAUGAAAUACUGAAAUUGAACAAGCUCCCAUUACAUAGUUUCUGCUUUCCCUCUCCACCCCAUAAUCUGAUGAUUCACAAGGAAUAGAGCCAAAAGUGAGCAGAAAAUUAUGAAAAUAUAAAAACACAGCCAUUAAAAAAAAUUAAAAAACAAGACCAAAACAGCCUGAUUCACCACUGACUCAGGUUUUCUAGGGUCACACAAAAGCCUGCCAGGUCAAGGCGCUUACUGAAUAGGAUUUAUCAGCUUUUUCUUUAGUAGCAUCCACAGCAUUUAACACCAAAUGCAGAACUAAAAAUAUUUGCAUUUCUAUGCUGUUUAGGCCAAGCUGGAUCUGGGAUACACAUACACAAGACAGGAUCAUGAAAUUCACCUCCAUACACAGAAUUCAUGCGAUUAUUCGCAGGGAUUUUACAUAAGCCCAACAUGAAGGAAAAAGUAGUUGAGGAUUCCAGCUCUUCACAAAGAUUGUGAGAACAAUUAUUAAAUAUAGCCUUGCUUUAGUCUUGCAAGCUCCCCUACAGAUAACAUCAAAACGUUAGUAUGACUGAAACAAUUGUCCUGCCUGCUGCCUGUAUGCAGCUCAGAGUUCAACAGUUAGAUUUUUGGCACCAGCUGUACCAUUUUUGGCUGAUUUAUCAAGUACCUUUGCACAGGCUAUAGUGACACCUGGUAUUAAGUUUCACUUAUAAACCUUAUCUGCAGCACAAACACAAACGGAACACCAAUAUUCAAGGUCACCCAUACUUAAAACGGCAGUGAGA